CCUACGGGUGGCAGCAGUGGGGAAUAUUGCACAAUGGGGGAAACCCUGAUGCAGCGACGCCGCGUGAGUGAAGAAGGAUUUCGGGUUGUAAAGCUCUGUCCGCAAGGAAGAUAAUGACGGUACCUGACCAAGAAGCCCCGGCUAACUACGUGCCAGCAGCCGCGGUAAUACGUAGGGGGCUAGCGUUAUCCGGAUUUACUGGGUGUAAAGGGAGCGUAGGCGGCAGGUCAAGUCUGGAGGGAAAGGCGGGGGCUCAACCCCCGGACAGCUAUGGAAACUGGGAGGCUGGAGUGCAGGAGAGGAGAGUGGAAUUCCUAGUGUAGCGGUGAAAUGCGUAGAUAUUAGGAGGAACACCAGUUGCGAAGGCGGCUUUCUGGACUGUAACUGACGUUGAGGCACGAAAGCGUGGGGAGCAAACAGGAUUAGAUACCCUAGUAGUC
rnacentral:rRNA from 1 species